rnacentral:tRNA from 1 species
UGUCCGGAGAUGGGAAUCGAACCCACAGUGUUCCGUUUACCGGGCAGAUGCCAUGUCCACUAUUCUAUCCUGGAC